GAUGAACGCUGGCGGCGUGCCUAAUACAUGCAAGUCGAGCGAACAGACGAGGAGCUUGCUCCUCUGACGUUAGCGGCGGACGGGUGAGUAACACGUGGAUAACCUACCUAUAAGACUGGGAUAACUUCGGGAAACCGGAGCUAAUACCGGAUAAUAUAUUGAACCGCAUGGUUCAAUAGUGAAAGACGGUUUUGCUGUCACUUAUAGAUGUAUCCGCGCCGCAUUAGCUAGUUGGUAAGGUAACGGCUUACCAAGGCAACGAUGCGUAGCCGACCUGAGAGGGUGAUCGACCACACUGGAACUGAGACACGGUCCAGACUCCUACGGGAGGCAGCAGUAGGGAAUCUUCCGCAAUGGGCGAAAGCUUGACGGAGCAACGCCGCGUGAGUGAUGAAGGUCUUCGGAUCGUAAAACUCUGUUAUUAGGGAAGAACAAAUGUGUAAGUAACUAUGCACGUCUUGACGGUACCUAAUCAGAAAGCCACGGCUAACUACGUG
rnacentral:rRNA from 1 species